CUUCCGAGUAUGGGAGAGUGCCACGCCACUGCGCUUCCGAGAAGUGCCCUAUGCCUACAUCCGGGAGGGUCAUGAGAAGCAGGCUGACAUCAUGAUCUUGUUUGCUGAGGGUUUCCAUGGCGACAGCACACCCUUUGAUGGUGAAGGAGGCUUCCUGGCUCAUGCCUAUUUCCCAGGCCCCAAUAUCGGAGGGGAUACCCACUUUGAUUCUGCUGAGCCCUGGACUGUCCAAAAUGAGGAUCUAAAUGGUGAGUAAGGGAACCCUGGGUUCUACCCUGUGCAGAGUCUGCAGUCACUUGUAUAUAGAAGGUUCUCCUUCCAAGGUCUAAGCUAGCAGGUGUAGUG
rnacentral:lncRNA from 1 species